ensembl:lncRNA
AUGACUUUUGCGGCAUUAGUUUCAUUUGUAAUUGUAUUAAUUAGAAACUGCAGCUCUAAUAAUCAUUCACAGAGAUGUUUCUUAAUAGUUUGUUAUUUGGUUUUCUUCACUUUAGAAAAAACUAAGAAGGUGAGGAAAAGGAAAGCAGUGCAUGCGUUCUUCUGGAGACUCCGUAAGACUGUAAAGCACCUCUUCCUCUGCCGUGACUCGACUCGAACACCUGUCGAAGUCCCAUCUGAGAUGAAGUCAGUGGAUGACGACAUCCCUGUGGAGCCGGAGCCGGAGCCGGAGCCGGUCUGUCUGAGCAGGUCUGAGCAGGUCUGUGCAGCUCUCCAGUCCUCCACGUCUGUGCAAGCAGCCGACGCAGAUCCAGACGCUCCAGUGUUGAUGCAUGUCUCAGAUUCAUCCGAUUCAGAGAUCAGUCUGGAUUGUGGAUCUAGAGUGUGUCUCUUUCUGGUGGGAGAGCUUCUAGGAUACGGGAGUUUUGGCAAGGUGUAUGAGGGAACCCACAUAUUUGAUGAUAGAAUUAAGGUAAAGCACUUUUAUUGACUUGAACCAACAUUUUGCUCCAGAUGUAGAGAUGUGUGUCCACUGUCUUGAUUUAAACAGAUUGUAGAGCUUGGGAGAAUUAACUGUGCUUUUGUCAUUCACAGGUCGCCAUGAAGUACAUCCACAAGCACAAAAAUGACCGCCGUCUUCACUUUGUAAGUUAACAAAUCUAAGGAUAAUUUUGGUUGAUUCUGAGUAAUUAUUAUUGUGCUGUAAAUACUUGUAGCUAACUAACAUAAAGCAGAAAUAAAUUAGACAACAAAGAUGUAAGUGCA